AUGGCGAACUACAAAAGGCAUUUGGAUCCUUCCACUGCAGUUAUUGGGUUCUUUGUACGCUUUGAAGAUGAUAGUGUCGAUUCAGCAAAAGUGGUCAAACAGUGGAAUGUCAAAAUCAUAUCUAUAAGCAAGAAUAAAAGGCAUCAAGACAGACCGGCUGCUCUGGAGGUGUGGGAUCGGCUGGAUGAAUUUGUGCGGGCUGUACGUGUCUCUCUGGCUUAA
rnacentral:rRNA from 1 species